UACAGAGGUCCCGAGCGUUGUUCGGAUUCACUGGGCGUAAAGGGUGCGUAGGUGGUGGGGUAAGUCGGAUGUGAAAUCUCCAGGCUCAACCUGGAAACUGCAUUGGAAACUACCUUGCUUGAGGAUUUGAGGGGGGAUUGGAAUACUUGGUGUAGCAGUGAAAUGCGUAGAUAUCAAGUGGAACACCAGUGGCGAAGGCGAAUCCCUGGAAAUACCUGACACUGAGGCACGAAAGCUAGGGAGCAAACAGG
rnacentral:rRNA from 1 species